GAAUCGACACGCCAUUUGUAAACAUCGAAGGUCGCGGAGAAAAUGAAACUACCAAAAACAAUUAUUUGAUGAUUUUUUUCGAUUGUAUAAAGAAUGACAGUUAGCGAAUCUCAAGAUCAAACACUGAGGAUUGUUUGGCUUGAUGCAAUGACCUUAAACAGUGAAAUGAUUUUCCAGGAAGGUCUAUACACAAAAAGCUGGAUUUUAUGGGGUGAUGAAAGAACUAUGAAUAUGUAAAUGGGAAUGAAACAGAAGGAAUUAAUAUGUUCUACUGAUCAUCCAGCUGAAAUCAUGCCUGUGGAAUAGAGUGCAUGUCACAAAUACUGAUAUGAGCAAAUAACUCCAUAUUGCACAAAUAAUGUCAUGUUUUCUGCCCUCAUGACCUGAAAAAGUUAAAAAUUCUAGUUCAGAUUACAAAAAGUAGAACUUAGUCAACUGUGAGAAAUAUUGGGUAAAAGUAGUGUUUUGAUGUCAUGACAGCUGUGAAGUUGUAUGAGAAGCACUAUCCUAAUACAGAAUUUAACUUAUAAAUUUUCCAAAACUGCAUGCAUGAAAUACUAAGACAUGUCUGUUGGAUGAAUCCUAGUUGUUUCAAAACUAAAAAUGUGUGACAUUAAAGCACAACCUUUGGAGGAAACAUUUUUACAAUCCAAACUGCCUUGCCAGUGUGAGUGUAGGAAGGAUUUUUCCAGAAAUGGCAGAAAACUACUAAUAUAGCAGAAAAUAUUUGUUACUGGCUGAAUAUAAUAUAUCUCAUUUCAAGAAUUAAUCAUGUUAAUCCAUGGUUAUAAUUGUGUUAAAAGAUAUUUUUACAUGACCUUUGCAGAAAUAGCUAAUUGUUUUGCAAAACAUUGUGAGUUGCCAUGGUAACACAAAUUUGACUUAAAUUUAGAUUUUUUUUAUUAUGUAAACAGCAUGUGUAUAUAUAUUCUGCUAAUCAGACUAUGUUCUGCAAGAAAAUAUCUUUUAUUUGUAACCAUCAACAAAACAUGUUAUAACACAAAUCUGCCAUAAAAUGGCAGAGCUGUAAUGCAGGUAGGAAUAUCAGGAAAAUAUGUAGUUCUGGAAGACAAGUUAUAUUACAUAAAAUGAUAUUUGCUUUUUAUAAAUGAUCAUAAUUGACCAUUUGUGGUGUAAAACAAAUACAUCAUUUUUCAUCAUUUCGUCCAUACGUCCCUUCUCAUAACUCGAAUUUCGGUUAUCUCGAAAUAAAAAGCACGGUCCCUUGAAAUUCGAGAUACCGAGUUUCGACUGUAUAUACUGAACAGAUGCUAAAUGAAUGUGCUGAUUCUUUCUGGAAAAUUAACAAAAAACUACUAUUUUAAGAAAAUAGUGCACUGUUGCCAUGGUAACAUUAAUUUAACUUUUAAACUAUUUUGGAUAUCAUCAUAUGUAAACAACAUCUUUCUUGUUUAUAUGUUAUAUAUGUUAAGCUGUAUUAUGUUAGUGAAUAUAUUUUCAUAUGUAAUAAUUGCAUCUACAAAGCACUAUGUUAUUACACAAGCCUGCUUUAAAAUGGCAAUAGUUGUAACUGAGAGAGGUGUAUCUGAAAAUUAUGUAUUUCUCAAACCAUAUUACAUUAAUUUUCAGGAAUGAUGUCUACUCUCUUACUU